CUCCUCCUUCUGCAGCUGCUGCUCCUCAUAGUCGCUGCGCUCGGGGUCCGAGUCCUCCUGAUACUUGCGCUUGGCCCCGGACACAGGAUGGAGUUUCGCUCUGUCGCCAGGCUGGAGUGCAAUGGCGCGAUCUCGGCUCACUGCAACCUCCGCCUCCCAGGUUUAAGCGAUUCUCCUGCCUCAGCCUCCCGAGUAGCUGAGACUACAGGCAUGCACCACCACGCCCAGCUAAUUUUUGUAUUUUUAGUAGAGACGGGGUUUCACCAUGUUGGCUAGGAUGGUCUCCAUCUCUUGACCUCAUGAUCUGCCCACCUCGGCCUCCCAAAGUGCUGGGAUUACAGGCAUGAGCCACCGCGCCCGGCCACGUGUAAAUUCUUUAGAUUUAAAAAAUAUGAAUCCAAUCAAUAAAUGGUAACAGUUUCUAACUGUCUGUUGCCAUGGUUACCGCCUGGCUCCCACAGUGCACAAUGGGCAGUGACCCAGGCUUAGUGCUCCCAAUUGGAGCAGGGUAGGGGAAGGCAUCAGGGAAUUGCGGAAAUCAAUCUGUGAAUGUGGUUCUCAGACGAAAGCCAUUGUUGGAAUCCCCCCAGGGAAGCUGCUCUGAGAAAGGAUAAAAUCAUGUUAGAGGCGCACUCUGAGUGUUAACUGUGUGCCAGGCCUUGUCCUAAAGGCCUGAUGUGUCCUACCUGUUUUAAUCCCCACAGUGUCUCUAAGAGACAGGAGCUAUUAUAUCCCAUUCCACAGGUGGGGAAACAGGCACCGAGCCUUGAAGCUCCAGACUGCACAACUGGUAGGUGGUGGGAUUUGAACCUGGAUGGUAAGAGGCUUGAGGAUCACACUCUGAAGUGCUCUCUGUUGAGGUUAGCUGUGCUGGCCCUGCCUUGGGGGCCACCUCGACUAAUUAAAUCAGCGUGUGCAAAUGGAGUCUUCUCCUCCAGCCAAUCCUUUACCUACCUACAUGCUGCCAUGUUCUAGGCCUUGCUGGGAUUGUUGCUGCAUUUGACAGUGUGGAACCUGAGGCUCAGUGAGAAUCAGGGACACCUCAAGAUCCCCUCACACAGCCUGUCAAAGGUAGGCAGGAUAGGGACCCAGGUCUGUUAGUGCAACACUGCUGCACUUAGACAUCACCUCCUCCUGGAAGCUCUCCCUGAUUACCUCCCAGAUAGCUCAGGUCCCCUGUAUACCCUCCCAGCACUGAUCAAGGUAUAUUUUAUAUCUGAGACCUGAGGCUCUGUGAGGGCCAGAGCUGAGGGGGUCUCAGUCACUUCAGUAUCUUUGCUACACAGAGAUGCUCAGUGGAUCUAUACUGAAUGAGUGAAUGAAUGUAGCCCCUGACACAUACAGGCCAGAGGCAGAGAGGGCAGCAUAAGGAGGUCAGGUGGUGCUGCAAGGAAGUGGGAAAAGCAAAGAGGCCUUCAUCCAUCCAUCUAUCCACCCACCCACCCAUGCAACCAACAAAUAUGUAUGGAGCAUCUACUAUGUGCCAGGCGCUGAGUUAUGGACACAGCAUGAACAAGAUGGAUACGGUCCUGCUCUCUUGGAGCUGACAUUCUGAUGGGGGAAUGAUACAGUUUGGAUAUUUGUCCCUUCUAAAUCUUGUGUUGAAAUGUGAUGCCCAGCCAGGCAUGGUGGCUCAUGCCUGUAAUUCCGGCACUUUGGGAGGCCAAGGCGGGUGGAUCACUUGAGGCCAGGAGUUUGAGACCAGCCUGGCCAACAUGGUGAAACCCCGUCUCUACUAAAAUACAAAAAAAUAGCCGGGCAUGGUGGCACAUGCCUGUAAUCCCGGUAUUUGGGAGGCUGAGGCAGAAGAAUCACUUGAACUGGGGAAGCAGAGGUUGUAGUGAGCCGAGAUUACUCCAGCCUAGGCAACAGAGCAAGACACUGUAGUAAAAAAAAAAAAAAAAAAAAAAAGAAAAGUAAAAAAAAGAAAAGAGAAGAAAUGUGAUCCCCAAUGUUGGAGACAGGGCCUGGUGGGAGGUGUUGGGUCAUGGAGGCAAAUCCCUCAUGAAUGGCUUGGUUACCCAAGGUAAUGAGUGAGUCCUCACUCUAAUAGUUCACACGAGAGACGGCUGUUUGGGCCCUCUCUCUCUUGUUCCCUCUCUUGCCACGUGAUGUGCCUGCUUCCCCUUUGCCUCCUGCCUUGAGUAAAAGCUUCGUGAGGCCUCCACAGAAGCCAAGCAGAUGCUGGUGCCACGCUUCUUGCACAGCCUGCAGAACCGUGAGCCAGAUAAACCUCUUUUCUUUGUAAAUUAUGCAGCCUCGGAUAUUCCUUUAUAGCAACGUAAAACAGACUAAUAUAAGGAGACAAUACAUAAACAAAUAACUAAAUGAUUUCCAAGCCAUAAGUAGGGCUAUGGGGGCAGGGAUCGUGAGUUCUUAGGGAGGAAGGUUAGGGAAAGCUUCUAGAAAAAGGUGAUAUUUGUGCUGAAACCCAAAUAAAGGGAGAGAAUGGGCCCUGUGAUGGAUCAAGGAAGAGCAUUCCAGGUGGAGAGGACAGUGAGGGCAGAGGGCCCAGGGCAGGGAGAACAAGCUCAGCACAAGGGAGCCAGGGUGGCUGGAGGAAUGAGCAGAGAUGGGGGAGGUGGGAGAGGAGGCCACAAAGGUCAUGGGAGGAAGGGACAGGGAUGGGAAGGACUCCCAGAUUUGGGGCCUGAGUGCCUGGGAGGAUCGGGAGGAAAGCUGGAGAGGACUGUUGGUCUCCAAGGGGGAUGCUGAGGGAGCCUGGAGCUCAGGUAGUCUGGGCAGGAGGUAGAAGUAUGGAUGCUGUGAUGGUAGACAUGGUUUUGAAAGCCUCAGUAUCAGACAGGGUGCCCUGGGGAGAGACCCAGACUCAGCAACGUUUAGAGAUUGUCUAGGGGGCCAGGAGUGGUGGCUUACACAUGUACGCCCCUCCCUACACUUUGGGAAGCUGAGGUGGAUGGAUCACUUGAGGUCAGGAGUUCAAGAACAACCUGGCCAAAAUGGUGAAACCCUAUCUCUGCUAAAAAUACAAAAAUUAGCCAGGCAUUGUGGCAUGCGCCUGCAGUCCCAGCUACUUGGGAGGCUGAGGUGGGAUUAUCGCUUGAACCCAGGAGGUGGAGGUUGCAGUGAGCUGAGAUCACACCACUGCACUCCAGACUGGGCAACAGAGCAAGACUUUGCCUCAAAAAAAAAAAAAAAAGAUAGUCUAGAGGAGGAAAGACCAGAAAAGAACCAAAGAAGGAAUGACCAGGCUCACACAAGAAGGCUGGAGAAGGCUGGGUGCAGUGGCUCACGCUUAUAAUCCCAGCACUUUGGGAAACUGAGGUGGGAAGAUCAUUUGAGGCCAGGAGUUUAAGACUAGUCUGGGCAACAUAGCAAGACCCUGUCUCUACUGAAAAAAAAAAAAAAAAAGAGGUAGGAGAACACCACAGAGCCAUUGCAGGGGCUCAGGGAGGUGGCCUCUGGGAAGGAGGCAGCAGACUCCAGGCAGGAGCAGAUUGGGGUGUGGUGAGGAGUGCAUUAGGACCCUAGACCCAAGUAACAGGCUCUCCAAGGGGCACAGGGGGCCAAGGAGACUUUGUCUGGUCCUGUCCCUCAGAGGCAGAGCUAGGACAGUGGAAGUCUCUCUCUCUUGCCCUGGGAAAUCACCCCCUCCAAGACAGGCCCUGUCAUGGGAGUGGUGCUGGGCCCAGACCUGGAGGGGGGAUGUUACAGGCUGGACAGGGCAGACGUGUGGGUGUCAACCUCAAUUCUGCAUCUUCUCUGGGCCUGAAUCCUAUCUCUUCAGUGGGGUGAAAACGCUAGUCCUGCCCUGACCCCAGGGGGGUGUGAGACUUGGACAGGAGUCUAGAGGUCAUCCAUGCUUUUUUACAUUUUAUUUUAGAGAUGGGGUCUCACUUUGUCACCCAGGCUGGAGUGCAUUGGCACCAUCACAGCUCACUGCAGCCUCGAACUCCAACACCUGGGCUCAAGCAAUCCUCCCGCCUCAGCCUCCUGAAUAGCUAGGACUACAGGCACUUUUUUUUUUAUUUUUGCAGAGACUAGGUCUCACUAUGUUGCCUGGUCUCAAACUUCUGGGCUCAAGUGAUCCUCUUGCCUUGCCUCAGCCUUCCAAAGUGCUGGGAUUACAGGCAUGAGCCACGGUGCCUGUUUCACCCCUGCCUUUUAAGUAACAGCCACAGUUGCUACAAACAUAGGAAGGCACAGGGCAGGUGGGUCUCAGUUUCACCAUCUGUCACACAGGAAGCCCAGUUUCUCCACCCUCAAUCCUGGGGCCUACAAUCCAGCCUCCACAUCUCAGCCCAGGUGAACUUUCUCAAACCUCUAGUGUCCUUGCCCUCUCAUCAACCUUCUAUGGCUCCGUACUGCCCUUUCCUGUGUUCCCACUGCCAAGUUGCUUCCCUGGAUGGCCACCCAUAAUGAUCUGCAGUUCCGUGCUGUGCUGUGGUUGGUUCUGUCCCAUGCACUGGCCUGGAUACUCCCUGGGGCAUGGCAGGGACCUGACCUAUCUUGGAGCCAGGCCCAGAGAAGGGCCCAGUGAGUGGAAUGUUGGACUUAGCGCUGGGCCCACCUGCUCCAGCUGCAGCUGCAAGGUGCGCUGGGCCGCCACGUCCCCCAGCGCAAUCUCCACAUAGGGGUAGCUGGAGUUGGCCGUGGGCCGCUGGGUCCGCGUCGACUGGAUCUCCUUCAGGGGGAACUUCACCAUCAAUUCCUGGGAGUAGGAGGAGAGGGGCCGGACAGGCCUGUGGGCGAGGAUAGUCUCAACCACUCUUACCCCUGCCCUGCAAAUCAGAUCUGUAGGAGGCAGGAGACUCACUCCAGUUCAAGUACCAGUUCCCCAGUGACUUGCGUGACCUUGAGCAAAUCACUUUACCUCUCUGGACCUCAGUUUCCUCACCUAUAAAAUUGAUUCAACAAAUACUGAUGAGAUGAUGCAUCUAUCAUGUACCAGGCACUGUUCUAAGUGCUCUAAGUGCUUGGGAUAGAGAGGUAUUGGUGCCCUGAACUUCACAUCAAAGUUGCUUCUUGUGAACACCUCCACCUCUUUUUUAAAUUUCCUUUUUGUGGAAAAUGGGGCCUCCUGUGUUGCCCAGGCCAGUCUUAAAACUCCUGGGCUCAAGGAAUCCUCCUGCCUCUGCUUCCCUAAGUGCUAGGACUGCAGAUGUGAGUCAAGUACCUAGCCUGUCUAGGGGCUUGUUUUCUGGCCCAGGAAGCAAACUUGGACCACAUACAGGGAAAGUCAGAGUGAUAGAGAGUUAAUGCCUCAGAAAGAAGCUCUUGCUAAUGACAGAUGGGAAGUGUUGAAUGGACACCCCAGCUCCCUCACCCCCAGGAGAGAAGGAAAGCUCUAGUCUGUCUCUCAGGGCUCCCCAGCUGGACUGACCUCCAGGUGCCCACAUCAGCAACUUGCUUGCUAACACCCCCUCUACUGGCUCCAUCCCUUCCCUGUCUCACUUCCUCACUCCAGUGUUUCCUGGAAUCAACUCUAAAUCAACCACUUGCCCUGGAAUCCCUGUCGCAGGGUCUAGUUCUGGGAGCAAAAACUAAGGGGGUAACAGGUCCUACUUAUUAUGGGCUGAAUUAUGUCCCCCACCAAAUUCCCAUGUUGAAAUCCUAACUCCCAGUGCCUCAGAAUGUAUUUAGAAAUAAGGCCUUUAAAGAGGUUACUAAGUUAAAAUGAAGCUGUUAGGAUGGGCCCUACUCCAAUAUGACAGAUGUCCUUAUAAGAGGAAAUUUGGAUACACAGAGAUACCAGGGUUGUGCGCACACAGAGGAAAGGCCAUGUGAGGACACAGUGAGGACAGCUGUCUGCAAACCACCAAAGAAACCAAACCUGCUGACACCUUGACCUUGGACCGCCAGCCUCCAGAAUUGUGAGAAAUAAACUUCUGUUGUUUAAGUUACUCAGUCUGUGGUCUUUUAUUAUGGCAGCCUAAGCACACAGAUGUACUAUUUGAGUGCAUAGAGUAUGUUUUACCUCAUCUCACCUUCACAACAGCCCUAUGGGUGGGGC
rnacentral:lncRNA from 1 species